rnacentral:lncRNA from 1 species
AGUAGUCACAACCCCCUUGGAAAAGUGUCCACGCUAAGGUAGCCACUGAACGCAGCCUGGUCUAACCUGGCUCCAGUGAGGUGUUCUAAAUGACCUAAGGCCUAACCUGCUUCCCCCCUCGUAUUAGUAUGUAAUCAAAACCCUACCAGAGCCAGGCUGUCCCAAAGUGACAGAUGUUUACCCAUUCAUUAACAUGGGAGAUGUUUUACCUGAGAGAAGUGUUUUUCUUCGUUUGCUUCAAAGUGCUUUGUUUGAGUUUCUAAAGGGCCACCUCCAUCCAUGUCCUGGGUCCUCGCAGGUUCUCGAGACAUUCAGAGGAGUUUCCACCAGGCCACAUUAGGGGAAUGCUUCUCUUUUUCAGAAAAUGCCUUUGAAGAGAGAUUCCUCACAGAAAGGUCAAGAGGAAGUUUUAUUAAAUUUUCAAAAGUUCACGCAGUUUUGCCUUCAGUUGAUUGAAAUCUGCUUCUAGACAACACCUACCUCUGGCAAAGCCCGCCCCCUCCCCCAUACAACAGGCCUCAAAGAUCUGCAAUUCUGGUGUCUUCCAGGAAGCAUCUGGCACCUCAGUUCCACAAAAGUGUGCUUCAGUUUGCCUGGGUACCUACCAACUCCGUCAGCUUUUCCUCAUCCUUUCUGAAAAGCUCUUGGAAGGCAGUUCCUUUAGCCAUUAUCCCUCUCAAAAUGUGACCCCCACAGUAAAUUCAAGGUUUCAUCCCAAAUAACACAGAGUAAAAAGAUGUUUAAUGGCUUUUCUAAUUACUGUAUUUCCUCUAGUAAAUCCCGUGGGCUCUUAUGGCAACAGUAUUACCCCGAUGACUCCUAUAUUACAAUCUACUAGAAUGCUGAAGAAGUAGUCUUUUUCACAACUGCCCAGAGAGACACCCUCCUGACCUAUACUCAUUAUUGCUGGUGUUCAUCACUUAACACGCGAUUGAUUCUAUUAAGUUUGUGCUAAGUCAGGCCUCUUCUUUUAGCUUGUUGACAUGUUGAAUAUCACUGAUGUAAUUGAGUAAUUCCUCCUCCCAAUUUUGUCUUCUGCAAAUUCGGUCUGUAUGCCAUGUCAUCAUUCAAGUCCUCAUUCCCAGGCACUUUCCACUGCCAACUGACACUGAAUCAGCG